AUUGAACGCUGGCGGCAGGCUUAACACAUGCAAGUCGAGCGGAGCGAGGGUGCUUGCACCUUAGCUUAGCGGCGGACGGGUGAGUAAUGCUUAGGAAUCUGCCUAUUAGUGGGGGACAACAUUCCGAAAGGAAUGCUAAUACCGCAUACGUCCUACGUGGGAAAGCAGGGGAUCUUCGGACCUUGCGCUAAUAGAUGAGCCUAAGUCGGAUUAGCUAGUUGGUGGGGUAAAGGCCUACCAAGGCGACGAUCUGUAGCGGGUCUGAGAGGAUGAUCCGCCACACUGGGACUGAGACACGGCCCAGACUCCUACGGGAGGCAGCAGUGGGGAAUAUUGGACAAUGGGCGGAAGCCUGAUCCAGCCAUGCCGCGUGUGUGAAGAAGGCCUUUUGGUUGUAAAGCACUUUAAGCGAGGAGGAGGCUACUAGUAUUAAUACUACUGGAUAGUGGGCGUUACUCGCAGAAUAAGCACCGGCUAACUCUGUGCCAGCCGCCGCAGUAAUAC
rnacentral:rRNA from 1 species